rnacentral:rRNA from 1 species
CGUUCCCGGGCCUUGUACACACCGCCCGUCACACCACGAAAGUUGGCAAUACCCGAAGUCGGUGGGCUAACCCCUCGGGGAGGCAGCCGUCUAAGGUAGGGUUGAUGAUUGGGGUG